GGCGAAAGUCCCCGGGCGCUGAGGCAGAAAGUGCCAGCCCGAAAGGGCAGGACCUCUCCAGGCCACCCUUCGGGGGUUGGCCGGGGAGCAGCUCGCCAUAGCAACAGUUAUGUGGCCAGUGGGGAGACAACCCACCAACUCAACGGGGCUUACUUUCGCG
rnacentral:RNase_MRP_RNA from 1 species